AUUGAACGCUGGCGGCAGGCUUAACACAUGCAAGUCGAGCGGAGAGAGGUAGCUUGCUACUGAUCUUAGCGGCGGACGGGUGAGUAAUGCUUAGGAAUCUGCCUAUUAGUGGGGGACAACAUUUCGAAAGGAAUGCUAAUACCGCAUACGUCCUACGGGAGAAAGCAGGGGAUCUUCGGACCUUGCGCUAAUAGAUGAGCCUAAGUCGGAUUAGCUAGUUGGGGGGGUAAAGGCCUACCAAGGCGACGAUCUGUAGCGGGUCUGAGAGGAUGAUCCGACACGCUGGGACUGAGACACGGCCCAGACUCCGACGGGAGGCAGCAGUGGGGAAUAUUGGACAAUGGGCGGAAGCCUGAUCCAGCCAUGCCGCGUGUGUGAAGAAGGCCUUAUGGUUGUAAAGCACUUUAAGCGAGGAGGAGGCUACUUUAGUUAAUACCUAGAGAUAGUGGACGUUACUCGCAGAAUAAGCCCCGGCUAACUUCGUGCCAGCCGCCGCAGUAA
rnacentral:rRNA from 1 species